AACGUAGGAGACAAACGUUAUCCGGAGUUACUGGGCGUAAAGGGCGUGUAGGUGGUUUCGUAAGUCUGGCGUGAAAUUUUUCGGCUUAACCGGGAAAGGUCGUCGGAUACUGCGGGACUAGAGGACGGUAGAGGCGUGUGGAAUUCCGGGUGUAGUGGUGAAAUGCGUAGAGAUCCGGAGGAACACCGAUUGCGAAGGCAGCUCGCUGGGACGUUACUGACGCUGAGACGCGAAAGCGUGGGGAGCAAACAGG
rnacentral:rRNA from 1 species